rnacentral:rRNA from 1 species
AGUGAACGCUGGCGGCGUGCCUAAUACAUGCAAGUCGAACGAAGUGGCGCACGGGUGAGUAAUAUAUAGUUAAUCUGCCCUACACAGAGGAACAACAGUUGGAAACGACUGCUAAUACCUCAUAGUGUUUGAUGAGACUAUAUCGUAUCAGCUAGUUGGUAAGGUUAUGGCUUACAAAGGCUAUGACGCGUAACUGGUCUGAGAGGAUGAUCAGUCACAUUGGAAAUGAGACACGGUCCAAACUCCUACGGGAGGCAGCAGUAAGGAAUAAUGCGCAAUGGGGGAAACCCUGACGCAGAAGCGCCGCGUGGAGGAUGACACUUUUCGGAGCGUAAACUCCUUUUAUCAGGAAGGCGGUACCUGGUGAAGAAGCACCGGCUAACUCCGUGCCAGCAGCCGCGGUAAUUC